rnacentral:rRNA from 1 species
GGACGAACGCUGGCGGCGUGCUUAACACAUGCAAGUCGAACGGAAAGGCCCUGCUUUUGUGGGGUGCUCGAGUGGCGAACGGGUGAGUAACACGUGAGUAACCUGCCCUUGACUUUGGGAUAACUUCAGGAAACUGGGGCUAAUACCGGAUAGGAGCUCCUGCUGCAUGGUGGGGGUUGGAAAGUUUCGGCGGUUGGGGAUGGACUCGCGGCUUAUCAGCUUGUUGGUGGGGUAGUGGCUUACCAAGGCUUUGACGGGUAGCCGGCCUGAGAGGGUGACCGGCCACAUUGGGACUGAGAUACGGCCCAGACUCCUACGGGAGGCAGCAGUGGGGAAUAUUGCACAAUGGGCGGAAGCCUGAUGCAGCAACGCCGCGUGCGGGAUGACGGCCUUCGGGUUGUAAACCGCUUUCGCCUGUGACGAAGCGUGAGUGACGGUAAUGGGUAAAGAAGCACCGGCUAACUACGUGCCAGCAGCCGCGGUGAUACGUAGGGUGCGAGCGUUGUCCGGAUUUAUUGGGCGUAAAGGGCUCGUAGGUGGUUGAUCGCGUCGGAAGUGUAAUCUUGGGGCUUAACCCUGAGCGUGCUUUCGAUACGGGUUGACUUGAGGAAGGUAGGGGAGAAUGGAAUUCCUGGUGGAGCGGUGGAAUGCGCAGAUAUCAGGAGGAACACCAGUGGCGAAGGCGGUUCUCUGGGCCUUUUCUGACGCUGAGGAGCGAAAGCGUGGGGAGCGAACAGGGUUAGAUACCCUGGUAGUCCACGCUGUAAACGGUGGGUACUAGGUGUGGGGUCCAUUCCACGGGUUCCGUGCCGUAGGUAACGCUUUUAAGUACCCCGCCUGGGGGAGUACGGCCGCAAGGCUAAAACUCAAAGGAAUUGACGGGGCCCCGCACAAGCGGCGGAGCAUGCGGAUUAAUUCGAUGCAACGCGUAGAACCUUACCUGGGUUUGACAUGGAUCGGGAGUGCUCAGAGAUGGGUGUGCCUCUUUUGGGGUCGGUUCACAGGUGGUGCAUGGCUGUCGUCAGCUCGUGUCGUGAGAUGUUGGGUUAAGUCCCGCAACGAGCGCAACCCUUGUUCACUGUUGCCAGCACGUUAUGGUGGGGACUCAGUGGAGACCGCCGGGGUCAACUCGGAGGAAGGUGGGGAUGACGUCAAGUCAUCAUGCCCCUUAUGUCCAGGGCUUCACGCAUGCUACAAUGGCUGGUACAGAGAGUGGCGAGCCUGUGAGGGUGAGCGAAUCUCGGAAAGCCGGUCUCAGUUCGGAUUGGGGUCUGCAACUCGACCUCAUGAAGUCGGAGUCGCUAGUAAUCGCAGAUCAGCAACGCUGCGGUGAAUACGUUCCCGGGGCUUGUACACACCGCCCGUCAAGUCAUGAAAGUUGGUAACACCCGAAGCCGGUGGCCUAACCGUUGUGGGGGAGCCGUCGAAGGUGGGACUGGU